GGCCUGUUAGCUCAAGUGGUUAGAGCGUCGUGCUAAUAACGCGAAGGUCGCGGGUUCGAUCCCCCCAUAGGCGA
rnacentral:tRNA from 1 species